rnacentral:lncRNA from 1 species
AUAAUUUUUAUAAAUGAUAUCCUGUCGAUGCAGGGGUUCUCAAUAAUAAAUUAAAGACAAUUGAAUCUAACAACUAUUCUAUAUUUAUUUUAUUGGAAUAAAUGAUAUCCCAUCGACCUUUUCAGCUCGCAACGGCUCAAACGGCCGGGGGCCUCGUCGCAGUGCCGUCGUGCCUCACUGACGCUCUGCUUUUUUCUGUUGACAAAUCUAAUAUUUGCCUACACCCACAUAUCUCUCUCUCUCUUCCCAGAUCAACCGCCCCUCCUCUGCGUCACUCUGUGCCACUACGCUACACCUCGUCGCCGCCUUGGCUAACAAAAUAGCAAUACUAUUGUAUUUUCCUCUCUCUAUCGAUAAAUUUGCUACCUCCCUUCAAAUACACGUCUCUAUCUCUAUCUCUCUCCCUAGAUCCACCAGCCCCUUCCUCUGCACCGAACCACCACCUCGUCGUCGCCUCGCCACAGCGUCAUGCCGGCUAUCUCUCUCUUUAUCUCAAUUCUGCAACGCUCAAUGCUCGACACGUUGUGUUCGAAUAUCGAGCAAUAGUUUAAAUUGAACUAUUGCCCGACGCUCGACACUUGACACUCGCAAACCACAACAAUUGGCGAUGGCGUAGUGGUAGUCGACUGCCACCUGCCGGUGGCUGUGGUCGUCAAUCGACGAUGGCAUGUGGCGGUUGUUAGUCGCUCACAUGUGGUUGCAGGGC